ACAAACAAUGCAACCUUAAAAUCAAUCCUGUAACUUAUAGGAAGCCAGUGAAGAGAGGCUAGAACAGGGCUGAUAUGCUCACUUUCACGUGAGGCAGUCAGAAGCCUGGCAUUGCAGUUGAGAGAGGAUAGGUUUUAGUUUUGAGAUGGUUUGUAGCUGAAAGAAACUAGUUUUGACUACUGAUUUUACAUUCUGUUCAAAUGUGAAAGCGGAAUCAAAUAUUACUCCAAGUUUUUAAGCAUGUGGCUUGAUUAGGGAGGAAAGGUGACCUACACUGCUUGAGACCUGUUUUAUGGCUUCGGGGGGCCAAAAAUAAUUUUGGGCCAUCCAGCAUUUGAUGUCUUCCAGGAAUUGUGUAAGUGAAUUGAAGUCUGAUUGAUUUCUUGGUUUUCAGGGAAGAUAGAGUUGCAUAAUCAUCUGCAUAAAAGUGAUAAGAAAUGUUGUGCUUUUACCAAGCGGGAGAAAAUAAUAAGACCUAGGAUGGAGCCUUGAGGGACCCCCAGGACCGAUUGGCUGUAAAAGAAGUGGAAUUGCCUGUCUUGACUGAGAAAGUUCUGUUUUUUAAAUAGGAAGUGAACCAAUUCAGGGUGUCGGUUUAAAGCAAACACUCACAGUUAUGAGUUACGAUUCCUCAUGUUGUUUCUGCUUUAUUCUUCAAAUCUGGUACACAUAGCACUGCAGAAGCUGCAUUCAUCAUCAUCAACCUUUAUUUAAGUUCGGAGAGAUCAUUGAGGGCGACCCUCAUUUACAAUGAUGCUGAGAAAACAUACAUAAAUGAUAAACAAUGAGAUAAAGCUACUACAUAAAAUAAAAUCAAUAAAAGAGAAAUAAGAACAAUAAAAUAGAUACAAUAAAAUAAUUUAAAAGCUUGAAAUUACUACAGUGAUAAGUCAGUAAUUAGAAUCAAAUAAAACAGUUACAGUCAGGUAUUGGGUGGUUAAAAAUAAUAUUUCUAAAGUAUCCAUAAGGGAUAAAAGUGCUCAAAUUCAGGUCCUGUUGUAAAAUAUUCCAGGAGUUUGCAGCACUAACACUAAAAGCAGUUUUCCCCAGGUCAGUCCUGGCAUGAGGAACCUGGAGAACCAGCCUCUCUCUCGAGCGGGUUAAAAAUGGACCAGGGUUCAGAUGUAACAAUGAGGUGAUAUAUGAUGGAAGCUUUCUAGUAAGGGCUUUAUAGACAAAAAGAUGCCAGUGGUUAUUGCGUCUCUCAGUGAGGGAGGGCCAACCAACUUUAUUAUGAAGAAUGCAGUGGUGAGUCAUGUAGCUAUCACCAGUAAUGAAUCUAAUCGCAGAAUGGUAAACAGCAUCUAAGGGCUUUAGCGUAGUGGAAGAGUCAUGCCUAUAGACCACAUCACCAUAAUCCAAAACUGAGAGAAAAACUGCAUCAAUUAUCCUUUUCCGACAGAACAUGAGGAAAUGUAAUUUAUUUCUAUAUAGGUAAACAACCUUUUGUCGUAGUUUGACAGUAAGAUUAUCAAUAUGAAGUUUGAAUGUUAGUCUGUCAUCUAUCCAUAUACUGAGAUAUUUAUAGUCUUUAACUCUCUCGAUAAUAGAUCCUAGCAGGGUGGUAAUGUGAAGGUUAUUAUCAGUUUCACAUUUAGCCCUAGAAAACAACUUAAUUGCUCAGCAAUCAGAGAGGCAGAGAGACGGAGAAAGAGAGGAUCCAAUUUGUCUUCACCGGUAAAUUUCUUAGGAUCUAAGGUUUGAAGAGCCUCUAAAACUACAUAGAAUGAGACAGGCGAUAAGUUAAACUGAGAAGUAUGAUUUGGAGUGGAAAUACAGCCAUUGUCAGUGGGAGGAAGGUCAAUGCUAUGAGUGGGUGAUCUAUUAUCCACAUCCUCAAAGAUGUGACAUUCAUCAACAGAGCUGUCAAUCAUAUACCUUGAGUGGCAUCAAAUAACUGAAAACAUUUAAUGUUAAAGUAAUUUCUCAGAUAAAAGGAUGAAUUUAACACAAAAUGGCAUGAUAACUUUCAUGAUGGAACCAGUAUUGAGAAAAUGUAUCUGACGUCACGUUGAUGUCAUAGUUUGACCCAUCUGUUUACAUAGAAGGGACGGGGUUUAUUACCUAUCAUGCACCCAGUCAGUAGUGGGAGCUCUAAAUAUUUUGGCCUCUCAUGAGGUAAGGUAUUCUGCUGUCCAUUCUUUAUACAGUCUCUGGCUUAACUCUGCACAUGUUAAAGAGAUAAGAAAAAAGAGCGACAGAUGUUUGGAAGUUAUCUGCCUGGUUAUGCCAGGGGACUUAGAUUUUUUUAAAAUAUGGAUUUAUUGGUUGAUUUAUGAUGGGAAUGAUAUAAUUUAAAUUAAACAGUUGAGUCAAAAGUAUUUUCUUCAGCCAGAGAUAAGUGUUUGCUCUUUCUGCUCAAUUGCUCCUCAUGAUGUAUUUACCCCUCAUGUUCUGAGAAUGGACUGUAGAUGGCGUAGAUUGUGUGAAGGAGGACAAAUAGUGUAUACACAGAAACCAUACAGCCACAACUGACAUACAGGAAAUAGAGAUGAAGAAUUAUCAUAUUCUGUCCAAGUAUAAUACAUCCUGAUGUAUUCAUUGCUGACCAACAAAAGCACAAGUUUAUUGACCUCCUUCAAUAAACGUCCUUCAUACUGCCAGUCACAGCAGUAUGUACUGACCACUGCGGUGUACAAAGCAUGGCAUUUCAAGACUCUAAACUUCAGUUUGCAUUGACAGAUUGUUAUCUCUUAUUUACAUUCACUGCAUGUUUCGUAGAACCAUAAAGGUGAUCUUAGCCGUGCCUUAAACAUAUAGCAAGAGAUCUUUUGAUAACACAAAGCAUUUAUAAUUAUGGUUAACUUCUGGACCUCCAAACAUACUAUCUUUUCACUGUUCUGUAUUUUUUGUCAUUUUUCCAGGUUUAGUCUCAUGAUCACUGGGGGCCGAAUCUAUCGGACCUUUCAGCAUCUAAAAUAGUGCAGCCAAUUGUUACAAGAGCAUUUAGGGAUGAAGAACUGAUUAGCGGUGUGAAUCUGUGGUCUUUCAAAGCAUCAAUGGCUUACUUUCUGUUAUGGUCCUUGGCAAAAAUUGGAGACAGUGAUUGCGUUAUUUGUUUCGAACAAAUGUUAAUUCUUAAAUGAAGAAAUCAUGCACCACUUUCCACAUGUAACCUUUCUACUAUUAAGAGCUCAGUGUUGUUCAAUUGAAAUGUAAAGAGAGAGUAUUCUUGGACACAAAACACUGAUUACAACAUGUUUAUUGGUAAAUAUGUUCAUAUACUGUAUAUGUUAUCCAAAUUGAUAGAAUCUCUUCGG